GAUUAACGCUGGCGGCGUGCCUAACACAUGCAAGUCGAGCGGCAGCGAGUUUUACACUGAAUUCUGGAAGCUUCUAGUUGAAAGAGAAGAUUUAUUCAAGAAUUUUGUGUAAAAUGUCGGCGAGCGGCGGACGGCUGAGUAACGCGUGGGAACGUACCCCAAAGUGAGGGAUAACGCAUCGAAAGGUGUGCUAAUACCGCAUAUGGUCUUCGGAUUAAAGCCUUCGGGCGCUUUGGGAACGGCCUGCGUAAGAUUAGAUAGUUGGUGGGGUAAUGGCCUAUCAAGUCGACGAUCUUUAACUGGUUUGAGAGGAUGAUCAGUCAGACUGGAACUGAGACACGGUCCAGACUCCUACGGGAGGCAGCAGUGAGGAAUCUUCCACAAUGGGCGAAAGCCUGAUGGAGCAACGCCGCGUGCAGGAUGAAGGCCUUCGGGUUGUAAACUGCUUUUAUAAGUGAGGAUUAUGACAGUAACUUAUGAAUAAGGAUCGGCUAACUACGUG
rnacentral:rRNA from 1 species